GAGGACAGGAAAGAGAGGUGUGGAGAGGAAAGAGAGGUGGAGGUGAAAGAGAGAUGGAGAGGAAAGAGAGAUGGAGAGGAAAGAGAGGUGGAGAGGAAAGAGAGAUGGAGAGGAAAGAGAGGUGGAGAGGAAAGAGAGAUGGAGAGGAAAGAGAGAUGGAGAGGAAAGAGGCGGAGAGGAAAGAGGCGGAGAGGAAAGAGAGAUGGAGAGGAAAGAGAGAUGGAGGUGAAAGACAGAUGGACAGGAAAGACAGGUGGAGGUGAAAGAGAGAUGGAGGUGAAAGAGAGAUGGAGGUGAAAGAGAGAUGGAGGUGAAAGAGAGAUGGAGAGGAAAGAGAGAUGGAGAGGAAAGAGAGAUGGAGGUGAAAGAGAGGUGGAGAGGAAAG
ensembl:lncRNA